AUUCCACGGUUGCUCAUUUGCUUCCGUUGGCAAUAUCUUAUCUUGAUGGCUAUGCACGUGUUCAGUUGUCCCCUCCUUUACCUGCUGUUCUGAAACCAGAUUUGAAGACAAAAGGGAUAUUUUGCUACCGAGAGAGAACAGUUCUUGAGGGAGUGCUGGAUUCGUGAUGUUGAAGGUUUCCGAUGGGUUUUUUGUGGCCAAUGUUGAGGGGGCAAGAUGGAUCCAACCUUGGUUGUUUUUCUUCACCAUCGUAGAUGUUCUUUCGGUAACUUCUUGCUGACCUCUCCUUGGAAACAGAUUCAGAUUUUGGUUUUGAACAUUGGUUGGCUUCUCUUUGUUUUGAUUGCCAUAGAGAUUAGUUUGACUAGAAAAUUUUCCCAUGAAAUCGGUUUCUGUUGGUUGCCUGUGACCUGUUUGUUGAAAAGCCUGAGAUAUGCCUUGGUUGUUGUUGUACUCGGCUUUGAUCCAUGGGCCAUAAAUUAAUCUUGAUGUAGGUGAACUUAGAAAUCCACAAAAAACUUGGGAAUGACCGAGUCUACCACAGGCAUAACAGAAGUCUGGAAGUUUUUCAUAUUUGAGAGCUAUCCAUAUUUCAGAAUUAUCUAACCUUGGCAUCAUAAAUCGUUGCUGUAAUGGCUUAGUGACAUCAAUUUUAACCUUGAUUCUGAUGAAUUUUCUGAAAGCUAGUCCAUAGAGAGGAUCCUCUUCCACUUUGAUCAAACUUCCAAGUGCUCUCCCUAUUUGAAUAGCAUUUUCUAGAGUAAUAUAUAAUCCAAAGGCAGACCAUGGAUUUGCACUUGGAAUGGAGCAUGAUUUAAAUUGAUUUCUUUGAGAGUGGCCCCGGUUGGCCACUGUUUUAGGACCAGAAGAUGCCCUUUGAAAUUCCAUGGGGUUUGAUUGAGGACUCUAAGUUUAUCUUGGGUAUUUCUAAAGGUGAAAAUAAAACUGUUUGUUUCCAUAUCUUCAAUAAGGAAAUUUUGUAUAAAGUUCCAUGAUGCUUUGAUGCAUGAAUGUAUUGCAAAUUUGUUUAAAGGCCGCUCGGCUACCAACCUGCCUAUCAGAAUUUUGUUUGAGAUGUUUUGAGCUGAUACUGGCGCUAGAUGCAGGUUGAGAUCAUGCCAUGAGAGAGCAGCUGUUUGAGAGAUAAGGGAAUCCAGAUCCAUCUUUGCUGCUAUUGUGUUGGUUAUCUUUGUUCUUGGGUGAGAUGUAAAACAGAAAAGUAGCAACAAUAAGUGCAGGAAAAUGUAAAAACAGCCUCCUAGUUAGAGAGAGUUUGACUUCUCACUAGCCGGCCUCAGUUAGGUUUGCUGCUCUUAGGAUUCACUCAAAUUGUUGUCAGCUUGACUUUCCCCAACCAUUCAGACUUCUUUACACUCGUACUUGUUACACUCUUGAAAAAGACCAUUUCAUGAAUUAUUUGCAAAAUGGUUUGUAUGACAUGGCCUAGCCUAUUAUUCAGUUAUGGUCCAAAUUUUUCUUAGGAAAUCAAAAUGUUUGAAACAACCUCUCAAUGGGUAAGUUUAUUGUUAUGAAUUGUUUUUACAUGCUUUAAAUUUUACAAUCUUUGUUAAAUGCUUGUAUUAAAUCAUUUUACAAAAACUAUGCCCUGUCUUGGAAUAUUGUUUUUUUUUUUUAAGUUUCUAAGUCAUUUUUUCUCUUUCUUCGAAUUCUUUUGGGAUUUGAUACGAAGCAAAACUGCCAUUUUUGUAACUUUUUUUCAAAAUUGGACUUUGAGGCAAGGGAAAAAAAACCUAUUAUUUCAUUUUUAUCUAUUUACUUUAUUUAUUUAUUUAUUAUUUUGGAAGUCUGCCUAUUUGUCCAACUUGAUGAAAUAUUUUUGGCGACUCAGUUAAUGUUUUGACAAGAGUUUUGGAACUAUAUUGACAAGUUGUUAGAAUUUCAAUUUCCUUGUAUUUUUGU